rnacentral:rRNA from 1 species
GCUGGCGGCGUGCCUAACACAUGCAAGUCGAACGGUAACAGGUCUUCGGAUGCUGACGAGUGGCGCACGGGUGAGUAACGCGUGGAUAUCUGCCUAUUAGUGGGGGACAACUUUCGGAAACGGAAGCUAAUACCGCAUAAUCUCUACGGAGGAAAGCAGGGGACCUUUCGGGGCCUUGUGCUGAUAGAUGAGUCCGCGUCUGAUUAGCUAGUUGGUAGGGUAAAGGCCUACCAAGGCGAUGAUCAGUAUCUGGUUUGAGAGGAUGAUCAGACACACUGGAACUGAGACACGGUCCAGACUUCUACGGAAGGCAGCAGUGGGGAAUAUUGCACAAUGGGGGAAACCCUGAUGCAGCGACGCCGCGUGUGGGAAGAAGGCUUUAGGGUUGUAAACCACUUUCAAUUGGGAAGAAGAGAUGAGUACUAAUAUUAUUCUGAUUUGACGGUACCUUUAGAAGAAGCACCGGCUAAUUUCGUGCCAGCAGCCGCGGUAAUACGAAAGGUGCAAGCGUUGUUCGGAUUUACUGGGCGUAAAGCGAGUGUAGGUUGUUUAUUAAGUCGGAUGUGAAAUCCCAGGGCUCAACCCUGGAACUGCAUUCGAUACUGAUAGGCUAGAGUUCGGGAGGGGUAAGCGGAAUUCCGUGUGUAGCAGUGAAAUGCGUAGAUAUACGGAGGAACACCUGAGGCGAAGGCGGCUUACUGGACCGAUACUGACACUGAGACUCGAAAGCGUGGGUAGCAAACAGGAUUAGAUACCCUGGUAGUCCACGCCCUAAACGAUGUCAACUAGCCGUUGCGGGUAUCGACCCCUGCAGUGGCGAAGCUAACGCGAUAAGUUGACCGCCUGGGG